rnacentral:rRNA from 1 species
GCUUGCACCUGGUGGCGAGUGGCGAACGGGUGAGUAAUACAUCGGAACGUACCUUAUCGUGGGGGAUAACGCAGCGAAAGCUGUGCUAAUACCGCAUACGCCCUGAGGGGGAAAGCGGGGGAUCGAAAGACCUCGCGCGAUUAGAGCGGCCGAUGCCUGAUUAGCUUGUUGGUGGGGUAAAAGCCCACCAAGGCGACGAUCAGUAGCUGGUCUGAGAGGACGAUCAGCCACACUGGGACUGAGACACGGCCCAGACUCCUACGGGAGGCAGCAGUGGGGAAUUUUGGACAAUGGGGGAAACCCUGAUCCAGCAAUGCCGCGCGAGUGAAGAAGGCCUUCGGGUUGUAAAGCUCUUUUGUCAGGGAAGAAACACCGGCUCUAACACAGUCCGGGAAUGACGGUACCUGAAGAAUAAGCACCGGCUAACUACGUGCCAGCAGCCGCGGUAAUACGUAGGGUGCGAGCGUUAAUCGGAAUUACUGGGCGUAAAGCGUGCGCAGGCGGUUAUACAAGACAGGCGUGAAAUCCCCGGGCUUAACCUGGGAAUGGCGCCUGUGACUGUAUAGCUAGAGUGUGUCAGAGGGGGGUAGAAUUCCACGUGUAGCAGUGAAAUGCGUAGAUAUGUGGAGGAAUACCAAUGGCGAAGGCAGCCCCCUGGGAUAACACUGACGCUCAUGCACGAAAGCGUGGGGAGCAAACA